rnacentral:rRNA from 1 species
CCUACGGGACGCACCAGUGGGGAAUAUUGCACAAUGGGCGCAAGCCUGAUGCAGCCAUGCCGCGUGUAUGAAGAAGGCCUUCGGGUUGUAAAGUACUUUCAGCGGGGAGGAAGGUGUUGUGGUUAAUAACCACAGCAAUUGACGUUACCCGCAGAAGAAGCACCGGCUAACUCCGUGCCAGCAGCCGCGGUAAUACGGAGGGUGCAAGCGUUAAUCGGAAUUACUGGGCGUAAAGCGCACGCAGGCGGUCUGUCAAGUCGGAUGUGAAAUCCCCGGGCUCAACCUGGGAACUGCAUUCGAAACUGGCAGGCUAGAGUCUUGUAGAGGGGGGUAGAAUUUCAGGUGUAGCGGUGAAAUGCGUAGAGAUCUGAAGGAAUACCAGUGGCGAAGGCGGCCCCCUGGACAAAGACUGACGCUCAGAUGCGAAAGCGUGGGGAGCAAACAGGAUUAGAUACCCGGGUAGUC